rnacentral:rRNA from 1 species
AGAUUAAGUUAUUAAGGGCGCACGGUGGAUGCCUUGGCACUAGAAGCCGAUGAAGGACGUUACUAACGACGAUAUGCUUUGGGUAGCUGUAAGUAAGCGUUGAUCCAGAGAUUUCCGAAUGGGGGAACCCAGCAUGAGUUAUGUCAUGUUAUCGACAUGUGAAUUCAUAGCAUGUCAGAAGGCAGACCCGGAGAACUGAAACAUCUUAGUACCCGGAGGAAGAGAAAGAAAAAUCGAUUCCCUGAGUAGCGGCGAGCGAAACGGGAAGAGCCCAAACCAACAAGCUUGCUUGUUGGGGUUGUAGGACACUCUAUACGGAGUUACAAAAGAACAUGUUAGACGAAUCAUCUGGAAAGAUGAAUCAAAGAAGGUAAUAAUCCUGUAGUCGAAAACAUAUUCUCUCUUGAGUGGAUCCUGAGUACGACGGAGCACGUGAAAUUCCGUCGGAAUCUGGGAGGACCAUCUCCUAAGGCUAAAUACUCUCUAGUGACCGAUAGUGAACCAGUACCGUGAGGGAAAGGUGAAAAGUACCCCGGAAGGGGAGUGAAAGAGAACUUGAA